AAUAUUGGACAAUGGGCGAAAGCCUGAUCCAGCCAUGCCGCGUGUGUGAAGAAGGUCUUCGGAUUGUAAAGCACUUUAAGUUGGGAGGAAGGGGUUGAAGCUAAUACCUUCAAUCUUUGACGUUACAAACAGAAUAAGCCCCGGCUAACUUCGUGCCAGCAGCUGCGGUAAUACGUAGGGGGCAAGCGUUAAUCGGAAUUACUGUGCGUAAAGCGCGCGUAGGUGGUUUGUUAAGUUGGAAGUGAAAGCCCCGGGCUCAACCUGGGAACUGCUUUCAAAACUGGCAAGCUAGAGUAUGGCAGAGGGUGGUGGAAUUUCCUGUGUAGCGGUGAAAUGCGUAGAUAUAGGAAGGAACAUCAGUGGCGAAGGCGACCACCUGGGCUAAUACUGACACUGAGGUGCGAAAGCGUGGGGAGCAAACAGG
rnacentral:rRNA from 1 species